rnacentral:rRNA from 1 species
GGCCAGGCUGUCUCCACCCGAGACUCAGUGAAAUUGAACUCGCUGUGAAGAUGCAGUGUACCCGCGGCAAGACGGAAAGACCCCGUGAACCUUUACUAUAGCUUGACACUGAACAUUGAGCCUUGAUGUGUAGGAUAGGUGGGAGGCUUUGAAGUGUGGACGCCAGUCUGCAUGGAGCCGACCUUGAAAUACCACCCUUUAAUGUUUGAUGUUCUAACGUGGACCCGUAAUCCGGGUUGCGGACAGUGUCUGGUGGGUAGUUUGACUGGGGCGGUCUCCUCCUAAAGAGUAACGGAGGAGCACGAAGGUUGGCUAAUCCUGGUCGGACAUCAGGAGGUUAGUGCAAUGGCAUAAGCCAGCUUGACUGCGAGCGUGACGGCGCGAGCAGGUGCGAAAGCAGGUCAUAGUGAUCCGGUGGUUCUGAAUGGAAGGGCCAUCGCUCAACGGAUAAAAGGUACUCCGGGGAUAACAGGCUGAUACCGCCCAAGAGUUCAUAUCGACGGCGGUGUUUGGCACCUCGAUGUCGGCUCAUCACAUCCUGGGGCUGAAGUAGGUCCCAAGGGUAUGGCUGUUCGCCAUUUAAAGUGGUACGCGAGCUGGGUUUAGAACGUCGUGAGACAGUUCGGUCCCUAUCUGCCGUGGGCGCUGGAGAACUGAGGGGGGCUGCUCCUAGUACGAGAGGACCGGAGUGGACGCAUCACUGGUGUUCGGGUUGUCAUGCCAAUGGCACUGCCCGGUAGCUAAAUGCGGAAGAGAUAAGUGCUGAAAGCAUCUAAGCACGAAACUUGCCCCGAGAUGAGUUCUCCCUGAGACUUAGAGUCUCCUGAAGGAACGUUGAAGACGACGACGUUGAUAGGCCGGGUGUGUAAGCGCAGCGAUGCGUUGAGCUAACCGGUACUAAUGAACCGUGAGGCUUAACCUU